rnacentral:rRNA from 1 species
CCUACGGGGGGCUGCAGUGGGGGAUAUUGCACAAUGGAGGAAACUCUGAUGCAGCAACGCCGCGUGAGGGAAGAAGGUCUUCGGAUUGUAAACCUCUGUCCUCAGGGACGAUAAUGACGGUACCUGAGGAGGAAGCUCCGGCUAACUACGUGCCAGCAGCCGCGGGAAUACGUAGGGAGCAAGCGUUGUCCGGCUUUACGGGGUGUAAAGGGUGCGUAGGCGGCGGUGUAAGUCAGGUGUGAAGACUAUGGGCUUAACUCAUAGAUUGGAGUUGGAAGUGUGGGGCUUGGGUGAAGUAGAGGCAGGCGGAACUGCCGAGGUGGCGGUGAAAUGGGUAGGGUUCGGGAAGAAAAGCAGUGGCGAGGGCGGAGUGCUGGGCUUUAUCGGGCGCUGAGUAACGAAAGCAUUGGUAGCAAACAGGAUUAGAUCCCCGGGUAGGC